CAGUAGCCGCGGUAAUACGGAGGGAGCUAGCGUUGUUCGGAAUUACUGGGCGUAAAGCGCACGUAGGCGGUUAUUCAAGUCAGAGGUGAAAGCCCGGGGCUCAACCCCGGAACUGCCUUUGAAACUAGAUGACUAGAAUCUUGGAGAGGUCAGUGGAAUUCCGAGUGUAGAGGUGAAAUUCGUAGAUAUUCGGAAGAACACCAGUGGCGAAGGCGACUGACUGGACAAGUAUUGACGCUGAGGUGCGAAAGCGUGGGGAGCAAACAGGAUUAGAGACCCCUGUAGUCCCUGUCUCUUAUAU
rnacentral:rRNA from 1 species